AUUGAACGCUGGCGGCAUGCUUUACACAUGCAAGUCGAACGGUAACAGGGUGCUUGCACCGCUGACGAGUGGCGAACGGGUGAGUAAUGCGUCGGAACGUGCCGAGUAGUGGGGGAUAACGCAGCGAAAGUUGUGCUAAUACCGCAUACGUACUGAGGUAGAAAGUGGGGGACCUUCGGGCCUCACGCUAUUCGAGCGGCCGACGCCUGAUUAGCUAGUAGGUGAGGUAAAGGCUCACCUAGGCGACGAUCAGUAGCGGGUCUGAGAGGAUGAUCCGCCACACUGGGACUGAGAAACAGCCCAGACUCCUACGGGAGGCAGCAGUGGGGAAUUUUGGACAAUGGGCGAAAGCCUGAUCCAGCCAUGCCGCGUGUCUGAAGAAGGCCUUCGGGUUGUAAAGGACUUUUGUCAGGGAGGAAAUCCCUAGUGCUAAUAACACUGGGGGAUGACAGUACCUGAAGAAUAAGCACCGGCUAACUACGUGCCAGCCGCCGCGGUAA
rnacentral:rRNA from 1 species